UCUCGAAAAUUUCGUCGAAAUUCAGUUGUUGAAGCAAGGGGAAAUGCAAUUCCAAGAUGUGGAGCAAAAUUCAAAGAUCCUCAAUGCACUAUGCACACCAUUUUUUUUGUAACUCCAUGAAUAAGGUUACAGUUUCUUCAAUGUGCCGAUGGCCUGAAAUAUAGAAGAAAUGUACGAGUAUUUCCUGUCUUAUCUUACUGAGAUUGAGAACCUCUCGCUGCUGGAAAAAGGUGCCAUAGAUCACCACUGUGGAGCUCGCGAUCCCCGGUUUGUAAAAGGCAAUGCCCCAGAGCUAGCGGACUUACCGUUCGUUCGUUUGAGAAAGAAACAACUCUCAUUCGUAGAGGCCACAAACGACAUUAUAGAGCCCAUCUACGCGAUGAUGACGAUGACGACAGCGGCAGCAGCGCGAAGUGCAAGAUGCAACGUUGGAAAGCUAACGAUGAUCAUUUAAACGACCAUUAGAUCACGACUUGGAUCGAAAAUGUCCGGGGAACCAGCAACUGGACUGCUUCGGUCGAAUCGAAAGCAUAUCUGAUCUUUGCCAAUCUAGCUACUCCACUGCACAGUGGUUCAAAGAAUAAUUCUCUGAACGAAUCGUUCUAUAGAUGCUUUUUGCAAAAACGGAUUUGUGAACAGACUGGAGUAAUAAGAAUAAUUCUGAUGCUGAUAAUGAUGAAAUGGGUGACAUGUUCUUGUAUUGAGGCAGAUUAUGAAGAUCAUUAAAAAAUAGUUGUGUUUGUUUCUCCAACAAUUGUUUAUAAGUAUAAAGCAGGAAAUAUACUGAAUACAUAAGUUAAACUGAAAUAAAA